UCCCUCUUAGCUCAGUGGUAGAGCGCGUCACUAGUAUUAUCCUAUGACGAGGUCAGUCGUUCAAGUCGGCUAGAGGGAA
rnacentral:tRNA from 1 species